UACGUAGGGUGCGAGCGUUGUCCGGAAUUAUUGGGCGUAAAGAGCUCGUAGGCGGUCUGUCGCGUCGAAUGUGAAAACCCGGGGCUCAACUCCGGGCUUGCAUUCGAUACGGGCAGGCUAGAGUUCGGUAGGGGAGUCUGGAAUUCCUGGUGUAGCGGUGAAAUGCGUAGAUAUCGGAAGGAACACCGGUGGCGAAAGCGGCGCGCUGGAUCCCUACUGACGCUGAGGCGCGAAAGCGUGGGGAGCAAACAGG
rnacentral:rRNA from 1 species